UACGCAGUGUGCGUGCGCGUGUGUGUGAGUGCACGCGUACGUGCAAGAUUAUAACUGACAACAGAGAGAAGAGAAAGCACAAGAGCGUUCCUGUCUGAAACGAGGAUGAUCAGCCACCUCCUCUAUGAAAGCUGCUCUUUAAUAACCCUCAGCUGCCUCGCUUCAUUAAAAAAGAUCUCUGCCUCUCAAUUUGGUUUGCCUGCUAUCAUGUUGCUGAUUCUGUGAUUGUCAGAUUAAGAAAAAAUGGGAAAAUCUAACAGCAGAUAAUGCCACAAAUGAAUGAUUCCUACUAACUCUGAGGUAGGACCUGAGAUGCUGCCUCUCUAAGUUCCCAGAGGAUGCUGACGUGCUGGUACACACUUUGGAUAGCAGGCCUAGAAGAAAGAAUAUGUCAAAGCUUUGAAUACCAGGCUAAGAAAUUGGUAUCCACUCUACUUCAGCGAGUAAUAAGCAGCUCUGGAGGACAUGAGACCGAAGAAUGAUAUAACCAGAGUGGUGUUAAAAGACAAUGGAUUCGGCAAAGCUUUGUGGGAUAAAUCAAAAGAGAACUAGAAGAUCAGCUAUUUAACAAUUGUAAAGACCAGGAGAGAGGUAAUAAGGACUAAAAUAGGACACCUUCUCUGGAAGGGGAAAGGAAAGGAUACAUAAGAUAAUAUAUAUAGCCAGUUGAACAUGCCCUUCUCAACAUCCUUACCAAGUCUUGCCUUACUUAACAAGAGGAGUCACUUCCUCAGGCAUCAUCUGGUGACAUCUUUCUAUGUCCUUUCCAGGGUGUCUGCUUUUCAUUUCAGAUCACAUCUAAAGAUACACACUCUCUUUUACCUCUAACCCUUAAUUUCAUUCCCCUGCCUAACCACAUUUUUUAUCGUGUGCAACUUGCCGCAGGAUUUAACUAUAUUAUAACCAUGUGACUAUGUUAUUUAGCUAUUAUUUCAUUGUGUACCAGUAACCAGAUUCAGUAACUAUAUUUGUUCUGCUGAGGAGUUUUGUAGAAAGCAUAUCUGAAGGGCACUAGGCAAUGAGGUAAAGUCUAUUACUGCCUUAUCACCAUCAAGAAAAUGAUCUGUUUGUUUGCACUUCACUGGAGUGUAUAGCCAGAGAAAUUGAAAGAGAGUUUGGGGAGGGCCUGAGUGAAGUCCAGAGAUGGAGAUGGAUGGAUACUCUAAACAGUAUGCUUUGGCUCAAGAUCCCCAAAAACAGCUGUUACGAGUAUGCAAUAGGGAACUAGCCAAACAAUGUAUUGACAGAGAAGAAGAGAUAAGGUGACAAACCUUAUAUUAGAAUUCAGAAUCUCUGUUAUUAUGCAGCUUACUCCAUCCCUACUAUACAUUUAAAAUGAAGGGAAAGAUAAACUUGAUGUUAAAUACAAAUCCUGACUGAAAUUUUCUUAAGGCUAAAAGCUUCAUAAUAUCCUGAGAUUAUGGCUAUAAAGAAGAAAUCUGUGCUUACCUAUUGGAUUGUUCAUGCCAUUUUGAGGUCGAAUUCUGAAUGCUGAACUUUGGUUUUCUGGUUGAACACUUGAGGUCCUUGUGCAUUAAAUAAUUUAAACACCAA